UCUGCACUGAAAAAGCAAAUUCCACAAAGGGAGUUUCUGCAAAGAACACACUUCUCAGUUCCCUCUCGUUCGUUCCUGGAACUGACAUCUUGUCCUGAAACCUCCAAUCUCAGAACCCGAGAAGAUGGUUCCCUGACUCCUGCAACCUCCGAGAGCACAGAAAUGUCUUUAUUCACUUUGAAAUUAGAAUUGCUGAUUCCCGAGAUUCAGUGAAAGCUUCAACCAGGGGGGUCUCCCAAAUAAUGACACAGAUUCCCACAGCUUCCCAGGAUGCAGCCAGGUGUCACAGGAUCAUGGGCUUCCACAUGAGUUCUGUAUCCUUUAAAACAGACAUCUUGGGGAUGCUCGACAUAAAGAAAAUAAAUUAAAUGUUUCAACGACUCUUUCCUUUGGAUUGCCUUGAGAGUGUCUGGCACUGUUUUAACAUUUUCAGUGGUGACAACUUCUCUGUCUUUGGAGACUGGUUUUGAAAAAGUGAAGAAAAAAAAGAAAGAAAAAAAAAAGGAAAAAGCUGUCCAGAGUUAAGUCUAGAGAGUAAGGUAAUAAUUGCUUUACUUGAAUUUUAAUUGAGAUAUGAAUAUAAAAUAAAAACCACAAUUUUCCCUUCCUU
rnacentral:lncRNA from 1 species